UACGUAGGUGGCGAGCGUUGUCCGGAUUUACUGGGCGUAAAGAGCGCGCAGGCGGCUUUGCAAGACAGAUGUGAAAUCCCCGGGCUCAACCUGGGAACUGCAUUUGUGACUGCAUGGCUAGAGUACGGUAGAGGGGGAUGGAAUUCCGCGUGUAGCAGUGAAAUGCGUAGAUAUGCGGAGGAACACCGAUGGCGAAGGCAAUCCCCUGGACCUGUACUGACGCUCAUGCACGAAAGCGUGGGGAGCAAACAGG
rnacentral:rRNA from 1 species